rnacentral:rRNA from 1 species
CAGCAGCCGCGGGAAUACGGAGGGUGCAAGCGUUAUCCGGAUUUAUUGGGUUUAAAGGGUCCGUAGGCGGAUCUGUAAGUCAGUGGUGAAAUCUCACAGCUUAACUGUGAAACUGCCAUUGAUACUGCAGGUCUUGAGUAAAUUUGAAGUGGCUGGAAUAAGUAGUGUAGCGGUGAAAUGCAUAGAUAUUACUUAGAACACCAAUUGCGAAGGCAGGUCACUAAGAUUUAACUGACGCUGAUGGACGAAAGCGUGGGGAGCGAACAGGAUUAGAGACCCCCGUAGUCCCUGUCUCUUAUAA